UCUUGACAUCCAGAGAACUUUCCAGAGAUGGAUGGGUGCCUUCGGGAACUCUGAGACAGGUGCUGCAUGGCUGUCGUCAGCUCGUGUUGUGUAAAUGUUGGGUUAAGUCCGCAACGAGCGCAACCCCUAUCCUUUGUUGCCAGCGAUUCGGUCGGGAACUCAAAGGAGACUGCCGGUGAUAAACCGGAGGAAGGUGGGGAUGACGUCAAGUCAUCAUGGCCCUUACGAGUAGGGCUACACACGUGCUACAAUGGCGUAUACAAAGAGAAGCGACCUCGCGAGAGCAAGCGGACCUCAUAAAGUACGUCGUAGUCCGGAUUGGAGUCUGCAACUCGACUCCAUGAAGUCGGAAUCGCUAGUAAUCGUAGAUCAGAAUGCUACGGUGAAUACGUUCCCGGGCCUUGUACACACCGCCCGUCACACCAUGGGAGUGGGUUGCAAAAGAAGUAGAUAGCUUAACCUUCGGGAGGGCGUUUACCACUUUGUGAUUCAUGACUGGGGUGAAGUCGUAACAAGGUAAGCGUAGCGAG
rnacentral:rRNA from 1 species